CGCUGUUCGCAGUGGUUCAAGACAAGGAUGGAGCCACAUAAAGAGGCAGCUAAUUGCUCACCGUGGUUUACAGGUUUUUUGGGCUGCCCCCAGCGGUCAACAGCAACACCACUGAAACUUAGAUGAGCUGAGCUUCCUAGCAGCCUCUCAGCCUGUUGCUAGUGCAGAAUGUUCGCAUAAUUAUUUUGCAGAGCCAAUAAUACAAUAAGCGUUGCAAAAAGCCAUACGCUCGUCACAAUUUCUACGUGAACCGAAAGAGGAUAACUCACAGGGCUUGUAGUCUGGAAAAGAGAUAAAAAAACUGGACCCAGACUCAGUCCGUUGAUGGAUGGUGAAAUGAUGCGCUGACGUGUACCUGGAGAGGAACUUGUCCGCUACAUCUCCAGUGUCGGAGAGAGAGCCGAGCCGGCUGAAUUAGUCAGCAAACUGCGACAAGCUGAGCUCACCUUCCUGCUUGCUUCUGCUUAGUUUCUGACUUGGUUUACUCUUAGACAUUGAAGCUGGGGGCGGUGUGUUUCUCUGGAACGUCGCGUUUUCUCCCCACUACACGGAAUUACAACCCAGAAAACCAUACUCUUCACAGGCAUCACCAUGAGAACCUCAAAUCCAGCCUCGUGAGUGCCUGCUGAAAUUUCGUAGUAAUGCAUUUUUAUCCGAUUAGUAUUAUCUGUAUAAUAAUGGACUAAAUAUUGUCGUAUAUCAUGCCAAUUUUUGUAUUCUUCUGAACUCCUUUGAAGAGUACAGACCAAUUGGUGCAGAUAGCUUUUGAGUAAAAUAGACUAGUACGGAAGUAGCUUCACUCUCGCGAAAACAAGAGGCUUCUCAUACAGUGAUUUCACCAAGAUAUGUCAGGUCAGGUCAUGUGACAUCUGUGGACGAAAUGCCUCUGUAACGAGUUUUAUCUGGGUGCUUCGGUUUCCCCUACCAAUUCUCUUUCCACCGACUCCUCCACUAUCAUUAAUCAUUCUAUCAUCGACAUUUUGUGGUUAGGGACAGGCAGCAUCGUUAAAACGAAUUGAAAUGAUUAAAAGAGGAGGGCAGAUACACACAACAGUCGCCACUAUUCAACUUCACUGGAACCCCAGGUCUAGCAACAUCUUCUGCUCUGUGCCGUUGUGGUAAAUGUGAAAGCAGGCAAUUCCUUGCAGAUGUCUUGGAAGGCGCUGUCGUCUCUUCUGUUCGCUCCGUUACAGCAAUGCUACCGGCAUGUGAAGUGACCACUCCCUUCCUUCUAAU